AGGUGCUGGUUCCAUAGCAAAACAGGCUGGGAGAAGGCUUGAGUUCCAGUCCUGGAAUCCAUACUUGUGUGCUGAUGCAUGCUUGAUACCCAGCCCUGGGGAGGUAGAGACAGGCAGGUUCCUGGGGUUCACUUCACUAGCCUGCUUAAUGAACCCCAGGCCAGUGAGAGACUAGGUCUCGAAGGGAAAGAAAAGAUGUAUGGCACCUGAAGAAUGAUAUCUGGCUUCUACAUGCGUGUACACACACACACACACAUACAAACACUACCAUUUACUUUGUUCUUCCUCAUCUGUUUUAAUUUAUCUUUGGAGGGGACAGCUUUCAGCUAUGUUGCUUAUUUUAAUACUGACGCCCAUCUGUGUCUCUGUCUUCAACUCCAUUUCUCUCUCUCUUUUCCUUCUUUUCUGCAAUGUGGUCUCAAUUUGUAGUGUAGGCUGGUGCAAACUUGUGACAGUCCUUCUGUUCCAGUCUCCCAAGUGAUGGAAUUACAGAUGUGAGCUUCUAUACCCAACUUUCUCUCAUAGAUCUCUAAUCUAAAUGUUUAUGAUGUGAUCUUUCUGGUUGGUUGUUUUGUUUUUUGAGUUAGGCUGUCCUGGAACUUACAGAGCUCCGUCUGUGUCUGCCCCCUGCCUCCCAUCCCCUGCCUUGAGUGCUGGGAUUACAGGCUUGUACUACCACACCUGGCUUUGUUUUGUUUGUUUGAGAUGGUCUCCUAGUGUAGCCCAGGCUGAGAUUGAAACCAUCAUCUUCUCACUUAAGCCUCCAGUAGCUGGGAUUAUAGCUGUGCUACCACAUCGACAGGAGCAUAGUUUUUGUUUUGCUGUUUUCCUUAGGUUUAGCCACUGACUUCUAUGAAAAAAAAAAAUCAAGAUUCUAAUUUUUUAAUACUGCUUCAUAUCUUACAUAUGCUUCUUCGUCUUUCACACAUAAGAGGUAUUUAUAAUAUGUACUAGAUUAGUCAUUGCUUAUAUUUCUGAGACAUGGCUAAUCUGACUGUAGUAUGUAGUGAGUAUUUUCUAAUCCAGUUUUUGUUUUUCCCUAGAAUUAAUACUUGCCAUGCACGUAACAUGUCAUCCCAAAAGUUACAGCCCUGCAUUUUUCUCAGCUUGUCCCUCGUUUCAGUGUGUGACUGGUUGCAUCUUAGAAUGCACUCCCAGCCACUGCAGCAGGUUCUCUGGAUGGGUUGCUGCUGCUCUGCUGGAGCUGAGAUCUCUUGACCAUUAUAGAUUUCCCUGCUUCUUAAAUCUGUUCUCCUUGCUUUAAUUCUAUGGCUCCUCUCUGUUUCCCCCACUCAUUUUGAUGAAGCUGUGUUUCUAGUAGCUAUUUGGUGAAAGUAAAUCUAGAUGGUGUUGUAUGCCUUUCCAUAUUUACAUUUGACUUUUGGGUAGAAAUUCAAGACUGAGCAUUCUGGAAUUCAAAAGGGAGACUGGUAGAGAUGGUACCAGCAGUUGGUGUGCUGGCUUGCAGGUACUCCCCUAAUUUUGCUGUGGUGUCUGUGUUCUGAACUUUGCCCCAGAUAAUAAGCUUUUGACAUACUGCUGACACAGGAUGGGGGUAGUUACUGUUUGCACAGUGAGUGUUCUACUUUGCUUUCUGUGGCCGAGAUACGCCAUGACCAGAAGCAGUCUGGGGAGGAAAGGGUUUAUUUCAACUUGCACUUGCAAGUUAAAGUCCUUCCAGAGGGCAGGAGCUGCAGCAGGAACAGGUAGGAGGCCUGGAGGAAGGCUGCUCGCUCGCUCACUCACUCACUCACUCACUCACUCACUCACAUGCUCACAUGCUCACUCAGCUCAGCCAGCCCUACGGCGGGCCCACUCUCCCACAUCAAUCGGCAGUUUAGGAAAAAUGCCCCACAGCCAGCCUGUAGGCCAGUCUGAUCUAGGAAAUCCCUCAGUUGAGCUUCCUGUUUCCUGGGUGACUCUAGCUUGUAUUAAAUUGAUGAUAAAAAAACCAAUCAGCACAUUUGGGUGCUGCACAUUAGGGUAUUAGGGCUUCUAAUCACUUUUUAAGAUGUUGGUCAGUUCUCUUUCCAGGGUUGUCAUUUUUCACUUGCAGAAUGGAGUCAUUCCACUCAUCUCUGAGCCUUUGGAGAAUCUCCUGUGCAAGUGGGGUUUCUCCUCAGCUUUUUCUUCUGCUGCUUAAAAUUGAUCCAGCUUUCUUCUCUCUUCAUUUGUUUGAUUCUUUAACAUGGGCUUCAGCCUAGGGCCUUGUACAUUCUUGCAGUCUCUCUACUACUAAGCCACACCCCACCUCAGCCUGCCUCGUCCCUGCUGGAGCAGCUCUCACUUGUUCAGCCUUUCCUUUCCUUUCCUUUCCUUUUUCCUUUCCUUUCCUUUCCUUUCCUUUCCUUUCCUUUCCUUUCCUUUCCUUUCCUUUCCUUUUCUUCUCCCCCUCCCCCCACCUGCUUGUCCUUGUAGUCAGUCCAUCUCUUCAUCUUCUUUUUUGUCAGUUGCUAGAAUUUUUAGAGGGAGUAAUGUCUAUUUCUAACUUACUGUUUACAAACCAAAAGCAUAGCUACUUAGUUUAUAUUGAAGAAUUGAACUUUAAGUGUGGAGCAGUGAGUCAUUUUGGUAGUGGUAAUAUAGGAUUUGAAUUUUAAAAGUUAUCCUAGCUUUGCAAUGUAUUAGGAGAUAUUUAUAUCAAGU
rnacentral:lncRNA from 1 species